GGGAGAUGGCCCAGGGACCUGUUGAGUCCCAGAGAUGUGGGGAUGUCCUGAGCAGUUCUAGGGAACUCAGGGCAGGAGGCUUGGCUUUGGUAGUACUUGGUGGCUCAAGCGGCUUAGGUGACAGAUAAGUCUGCAUGUUCCAGGGCGGCAUUGACACCCGGGUUCGGGGUGUGGAGGUCCUGGGCCCUAAGCCCACAUUCUGGCCACUGUUCCGGGAGCAGCUGUGUCGCCGAACAUGUCUCUUCUACACAAUUCGGGCACAAGCCUGGAGCCGGGACAUAGCAGAGGACCGCCGGCGCCUCCUCCAGCUCUGUCCCAGACUGAACAGGGUUUUGCGCCACGAGCAGAAUUUUGCUGACCGCUUCCUCCCUGAUGAUGAGGCCGCCCAGGCACUGGGCAAGACCUGCUGGGAGGCCCUGGUCAGCCCCCUGGUACAGAACAUCACCUCUCCUGGUAACCAUGCUGACACCUGGCCCCACUAACCAGUUCCUUGUCCUUAUUCCCAGGGAUCACCUGAGUUAAUGUUCUUGGUUCUUUUGGUUCCUGUCUUUAUCCCUGAAGGCCUGUCACCUCAGUGUUCCUCUCUCCUUCCUGCCCC
rnacentral:sRNA from 1 species